AGCCACUUCUGGAAUUUUGCCAAAUCUAAAUAUGAUUAUAUUUCAUUUCAGGGUUCACAGGAUCAAUAUUUUUCUUAGUAUCAAAGUCUGCAACACUUUAGUGUUCCAGUGAAGCUAAAGAAGAGGUGUCUGAUGAUUUCUGAGCACCAAGUGACUAUUCUGUGGAGUCAUCUUUCCUUGCCUUUGAACGAGCUUUCCCUAGGCCAUGAGUCAACCUCAAUCUUUUGUACAUCCAAAUUGAAUUCCUGAAAAUGGAUGAUGUGCCAGCCAUUGUGCAGGGACAGGAACACAGCAAUGAAUGAACAUAAAGGAAAUUUAACGUGGGUUUCUGCUCUCUGCAAUCAAAACAAACCUGAGUUAGACAUUAACACCAAAAGUUAUGUUGGAAAAAGAAGACCCUAAAAUGGAAAAUUGGCUGAGUUGAGGUGAACUAAAUUACAAGGAUGAUUCCAUGAUCCCAGGAUGGAAAUUGGCAAGCUUUGUUCUGCCACAAGAAGCAGGUUAAAAAGUUACCUGUUAAAUCUUUAGACUUCAUGUGCUUACUGAGGUUGGAGCUAUAGGAGAU